rnacentral:lncRNA from 1 species
AUAGGUUCUAUGUUUCUGGAAGAUGCACCAUGCUGCCUUCAUGUUGACGACAUGGCCGAUCGGCCCAGAUUACUGUUCCAUUUGAGAAGGGCGCUCCUCCCUCACCGCUUUUUCCCGUUCGAGUCAUGGGCCAUAGACCGAUGCUCCACGGCUCAGCAUAAUCAAAUCCAACGAUUCACAGCUGACAAGGCUUCUAUCCAGUCUCUGUGUUCAGUUAAUGUGUUAAUUGUAAGUAGGCCUAUCCUGAGUACAACUUGUUUGGUAAUUGUGCGGACAUGGAGACAGCCAGCAAAGCUCUCAAACUCACUUGACUCAACAUGCUGUCUCUCAGGCUCCCUCCAAAUGCCUUCUACAAGAAGAUGGAGGGGCUCUUUGCGGAUCACGGUUACCCUGAGAAGAAUUGAGAAGUUCAGACGUAAAUUGGGGAACAUGCUAAGAACCUACAAACAGGCCAAAGAACGUUGCCGGGAGACAGGUCAAAGAACUUUGCCGGGAGACAGGCCAAGGGAGAACCACUUGGCUGUGCUUUGAGGUUGAUGUCUCUCUGGUGCAUAGGGUUAUGAUUAACACAAUAUGACCUUCUGUAUUUCUUAUUCCCCUCAGGUAAUGAAUGACAUACAGUUUAUAAAUCAUUCACAAUUUAUUCUAACAUAAGUUGAAACAAAAAAACAUAUUUUGGUGUUCACACGUGUAUUUGUUUGAUUUACAAAGUCUGCACAGGACCAAGAAAAAAAUCUAAACUGAAAUUGAGACGGUUGGCUCUGUUCUUAUGCAUUUCACUGUUCUUGUGCAUGUGACAAUAACACCUGAACUCAGAGGAGAAGGUGGUUCGAGACCUCAAUGCUGGAGGCAGUGGCUGCCAUGCAGCACAUUCUUCAGCAGAUGCAUAUAAGUCAGAAAGAAAUGGUUACACUGUUGAAAAAGGAAAACAAAUGAUGCUUGACAUUCCUUCUUGUCUGUCUUUACUAUCCCAGGUGUUGUCCCAUUAUGUCAUUUGGAGUGUUUAUCUCCUUUAUGGUGGAACCAUUGAACACCUCUAACAAUAGACAUGCAGGUGGUAAACUUGUUUCUAAA